rnacentral:rRNA from 1 species
AUUGAACGCUGGCGGCAUGCCUUACACAUGCAAGUCGAACGGCAGCACGGGUGCUUGCACCUGGUGGCGAGUGGCGAACGGGUGAGUAAUACAUCGGAACGUACCUUAUCGUGGGGGAUAACGCAGCGAAAGCUGUGCUAAUACCGCAUACGCCCUGAGGGGGAAAGCGGGGGAUCGCAAUACCUCGCGCGAUUAGAGCGGCCGAUGCCUGAUUAGCUUGUUGGUGUGGUAAAAGCCCACCAAGGCGACGAUCAGUAGCUGGUCUGAGAGGACGAUCAGCCACACUGGGACUGAGGCACGGCCUAGACUCCUACGGGAGGCAGCAGUGGGGAAUUUUGGACAAUGGGGGCAACCCUGAUCCAGCAAUGCCGCGUGAGUGAAGAAGGCCUUCGGGUUGUAAAGCUCUUUUGUCAGGGAAGAAACACCGGCUCUAACACAGUCCGGGAAUGACGGUACCUGAAGAAUAAGCACCGGCUAACUACGUGCCAGCAGCCGCCGCGG